rnacentral:rRNA from 1 species
CAGCAGCCGCCGCGGUAAUGCGGAGGGCGCGAGCGUUACCCGGAUUUACUGGGCGUAAAGGGCGUGUAGGCAGCCUGGGGCGUCCCAUGUGAAAGGCCACGGCUCAACCGUGGAGGAGCGUGGGAUACGCUCAGGCUAGAGGGUGGGAGAGGGUGGUGGAAUUCCCGGAGUAGCGGUGAAAUGCGCAGAUACCGGGAGGAACGCCGAUGGCGAAGGCAGCCACCUGGUCCACUUCUGACGCUGAGGCGCGAAAGCGUGGGGAGCAAACCGGAUUAGAUACCCGCGUAGUCCCUGUCUCUUAUAC